GACGAACGCUGGCGGCGUGCUUAACACAUGCAAGUCGAACGGAAAGGCCCUGCUUUUGUGGGGUGCUCGAGUGGCGAACGGGUGAGUAACACGUGAGUAACCUGCCCUUGACUUUGGGAUAACUUCAGGAAACUGGGGCUAAUACCGGAUAGGAGCUCCUGCUGCAUGGUGGGGGUUGGAAAGUUUCGGCGGUUGGGGAUGGACUCGCGGCUUAUCAGCUUGUUGGUGGGGUAGUGGCUUACCAGGGCUUUGACGGGUAGCCGGCCUGAGAGGGUGACCGGCCACAUUGGGACUGAGAUACGGCCCAGACUCCUACGGGAGGCAGCAGUGGGGAAUAUUGCACAAUGGGCGGAAGCCUGAUGCAGCAACGCCGCGUGCGGGAUGACGGCCUUCGGGUUGUAAACCGCUUUCGCCUGUGACGAAGCGUGAGUGACGGUAAUGGGUAGAGAAGCACCGGCUAACUACGUG
rnacentral:rRNA from 1 species